rnacentral:rRNA from 1 species
GACGAACGCUGGCGGCGUGCUUAGCACAUGCAAGUCGAACGGAAAGGCCCUGCUUUUGUGGGGUGCUCGAGUGGCGAACGGGUGAGUAACACGUGAGUAACCUGCCCUUGACUUUGGGAUAACUUCAGGAAACUGGGGCUAAUACCGGAUAGGAGCUCCUGCUGCAUGGUGGGGGUUGGAAAGUUUCGGCGGUUGGGGAUGGACUCGCGGCUUAUCAGCUUGUUGGUGGGGUAGUGGCUUACCAAGGCUUUGACGGGUAGCCGGCCUGAGGGGGUGACCGGCAACUUGGGGGGUAGAAAAGGCCCAAACCCCCUAGGGGGGCCGAGGGGGGGAUAAUUCAACAAGGGGGGGAAGCCUAAGGCGGCAACCCCGGGGGCGGGAGGACGGCCUUCGGGUGGAAAACCGCUUUCCCCUUGAACGAAGGAUGAGUGACGGUAAUGGGUAAAGAAGCCCCGCCUAACUACGU